AAGGGGAGUGCCAGAUCCUGGGCUGUGUCCCCCGGCGCCUCGGGCUCCAAGGCCUGCGCUGCUGGAAUCCUGCCCCCGGGCCGCACAGCCCCCU
rnacentral:pre_miRNA from 1 species